rnacentral:rRNA from 1 species
GACGAACGCUGGCGGCGUGCUUAACACAUGCAAGUCGAACGCUGAAGCUCAGCUUGCUGGGUGGAUGAGUGGCGAACGGGUGAGUAACACGUGAGUAACCUGCCCUCUUCUUUGGGAUAACGCCCGGAAACGGGUGCUAAUACUGGAUAUUCACUGAUUCUCGCAUGGGGGUUGGUGGAAAUGUUUUUUCUGGUGGGGGAUGUGCUCGCGGCCGAUCAGCUUGUUGGUGGGGUGAUGCCCUACCAAGGCUUUAACGUGUACCAGGCCUGGGAGGGUGACCGGUCAGAUUGGGACUGAUGUACGGAACAGAAUCCUACGGGAGGCAGCAGUGGGGGAUAUUGCACAAUGGGCGAAAGGCUGAUUCGGCGACGACGCGUGAGGGAUUGAGGCCUUCGGGUUGUAAACCUCUUGCGGUCAUGGUCAAGCCGCAGCUUUGGGUUGUGGUGAUGGUAGUGGGUAAAGAAGCGCCGGCUAACUACGUG